GCCACCAAGUUGUACCCUGGCAAUGGCUGCUUGCUCCUGCACGGCUUGUCAGAGGCCACCACCUUGGAGCUUCUAGCUUCGACUCCAGACGGAAUGGAAAUCCUACAAAGGGACUUGACAUGGUGCCCUACUUUCACAAAAUUAAAGACUUUGAUACUUAACAAUUGGUGCGUGUGUGGCGAUGUAACUGCGCUUGCGUGCCUUCUGCGGCACACUCCAACACUAGAGAGGCUAAUCUUGCGACUUGAUUUUGAGAACCAUGGACUCGAGAAGAAAGCAGAAUGUAGUAGUAUACCAUCGCCACAAUUGCAUCCUACACUUGAAAGCCUGAAAACUGUGGAGAUCAAGAGUCGAUGUCCAUCUUCUGUUAAAAAUGAUCAAGAGAUUUUGAAGCUGUUCAGUGACUGGGGUACA